rnacentral:lncRNA from 1 species
AAUAUAUAUAUAUAUAUUCUUCGACUAAAUACCAGAUACAUUUCUUCGAAGAUGCCUUACUAAUUCUUAUUUUUUUUCUCAGUUAUUAAAUGGUUACUGUGCGCACCUUGCCAACACAAGUGAUUUGAAGUGGUCAUGGUGCCUGGGGUCUCUAUGUUCAGCGUUUCACUCCACCUCUGGCUGCAUCAUUGGAGGGUCUUUAGCCAACCUGGAACAAGAGAUUUGGCUGGCUAAUGCUAAUUCUGUACAUAUUCCUAAGCACGGGAGUACAUUCAUUGUCUGAGAGUGGUUAUUUACACUUUCAACCAAUCAUUGCCCGGUGGGACGGACAUCUAGUUUCUGCAGCUUUGCAGAAUACGGUUUUCGUCACUAGUCACUGUAGGACAGUCAGCGCCCGGUGGUGAUCCAAGUAAGAGGGUUGUACUUAUCUAAACAUAGAGUUAUAGUACUAUACAAUAUAUAGUAUGCUAUUGAUUCCACGGCUGACAUAAUUGCUGAAUUUAACUUAAGAGCCUCCAUGUGUUUCCAAAGAAUUGCACAUACAGCUCUGCAAAAUUGUUACCAUUUUCAUAAUGUAUAGAUUGUGUGAAGUUGAAUGUUACAACGUAUCUGUUAUUAUCCAAAAAUUCUAUCACAAGCAUUCAUUAUUUGGGCUUCUUGGUGAAGCUGAGAUAUAUUUGCAGAUAAAAGAGUGGAAAAUGAAAGUGAUCUCAGAAAUGGUGAGGUAAUAAUUAUGGAGCAUUUUUAACCAAAAGCACAGAGGCCAUAAUAAGGCAUUAUAUAUGAAUACACAAUUGUUUAUUUGCCAAACGUUGAAUGACAGUGCACCUCACAACAGACAUAAAUUAAAGUUAAAAUAGUCACGCUGGGAAUAGUUUACAUCUUAGCAAAAAUGUAUCUUUUUACAAAUCUUCUAUAUCUUCUCAAAUUCUGCAAACCUUUAGUUAAGCAUUCCCUCACGUCUGGUAGACUUUGCUUUGGUGUAAUAACCCAGGACUACUUUCUAGCAAAGGUUAAAGACACUGUGGCAGUGAUGGCUGAUCAUGUUUAUCACCAGACUCACCCAAGGAAUUUGACCCCAACUUCUCUGUCUGGAAACCCCACCUCCCCAACUCAAUGGACAAUGGAAAUAUCAAACUGACUGUAAAAAAUCUGUAUUUAAUUUAUUUACCCAUCAAAUGCCAGAGAAAUGGCGAGCACGUUGCAAAGCAUAUCUGACAUGGAAGCAUUAUUAAACAUAUUGCAAAUUAUGUAUUCAUCAGUUUGCAGUAAACUACUUACUCUUUUGAGACACUCUAUUCCUGCUGUGAUAGAAUAAAUUACUCAAAAAUAGGAAAUUAUUUUAAUUCCAAGCACAGAACCAUCCAAUUUAAAAAAGAAGACUUGAAGAUGGAGGACAAGUACAAAAUGACAUGAAAUGGACCUGAAAUUCUGUGUUUGGGGGACACACAUACAGUAUUCUAAUUGGGAGACACGGUGGCAGCAGACACACAGUGCUGGAAUUAAGGAACACAGUUUGAGCAGACUAACAGUGCUGUUAUUGGAACUGGCAUUUUAACUAGAUGGCUUCCCUUAACAGCCUAACAUUUGUUUUUUU